GUUAGCGGCGGACGGGUGAGUAACACGUGGAUAACCUACCUAUAAGACUGGGAUAACUUCGGGAGACCGGAGCUAAUACCGGAUAAUAUUUUGAACCGCAUGGUUCAAAAGUGAAAGACGGUCUUGCUGUCACUUAUAGAUGGAUCCGCGCUGCAUUAGCUAGUUGGUAAGGUAACGGCUUACCAAGGCAACGAUGCAUAGCCGACCUGAGAGGGUGAUCGGCCACACUGGAACUGAGACACGGUCCAGACUCCUACGGGAGGCAGCAGUAGGGAAUCUUCCGCAAUGGGCGAAAGCCUGACGGAGCAACGCCGCGUGAGUGAUGAAGGUCUUCGGAUCGUAAAACUCUGUUAUUAGGGAAGAACAUAUGUGUAAGUAACUGUGCACAUCUUGACGGUACCUAAUCAGAAAGCCACGGCUAACUACGUGCCAGCAGCCGCGGUAAUACGUAGGUGGCAAGCGUUAUCCGGAAUUAUUGGGCGUAAAGCGCGCGUAGGCGGUUUUUUAAGUCUGAUGUGAAAGCCCACGGCUCAACCGUGGAGGGUCAUUGGAAACUGGAAAACUUGAGUGCAGAAGAGGAAAGUGGAAUUCCAUGUGUAGCGGUGAAAUGCGCAGAGAUAUGGAGGAACACCAGUGGCGAAG
rnacentral:rRNA from 1 species